rnacentral:lncRNA from 1 species
CAAUACAAAGCAUAUUGAGUAGUCUUCUUCCAAAGUUCUCUCUUUUAAUAUUUUCCUUCACCUUUCUAGCUUCCUCUUCUUAGUUGAAUCUUUCGAUUUUAUUAACGAUCUUGGGCUAGCAGAAGGUUUCCUAAAUAUACCUUUCUUCUGCUAUUCUCUACACUUGAAAAAUAUAUUAAGUUAAUAAAGCUUAAUUAGAUUAAUACAAAUGUAGAUGCAGACAUCUGAAAUUUGAAAAAUAAGAUUGUGAGCGUCAAACACUUAUCAAUAAGAAAAAUAUACUUCGGAGAGAGUAUCGAUUAGUUGUUUAGCUCAGCUUGAAUACCUGUAAGUUCCUGAAAUCAAAUUUUGCUCCAUUGGUAAAUUUUCUAGAAGCGGUUAUUUCGUCUUCUGUAGUUGCUUUGCGUUCUCUGCUUCUUUCUCCUUGCCAUCAUAAUUUUGUGCCCCAGCUCUUCAACGGUUCUUUCAAGCCAUUUCAUAUUUCCAGUUGAGAUCAAGAUAUAUAUUAUGGAUAGUCCGGUUCCAUACCCCAUAAGAGCGGCUUUCCAAAAAUCAUUCAGAAAUUCAGAGUUGCUUUCUUCAUCAAGCGCAGAUCCAGUAUAAGUUUCCUCUGAUGCUGAAUCAUGACCGUCGUUACCACAACCUUUUGAAAGUGGGAAUCCACAUAAUCUAUCAUUACCUUCAUAUGAAUUGUUCUCAAAGGUAUGAAAUUGAUUUCCUUGAGGAAUGCACCCUUCGAGAUGAAUUGUUCUCAAGUCAUAUUGUGAUGCAGACAUGUUUGGUUCUCAUUUCUUAGCUCUAAAGUAGUGGACCAAUAAAUUUCUAGACUAUAUUGAAAUCUCUAAUAGACUCCAUAGCACUUGAUUAACAUGAGUUUAGAUGACCGCAAUGUGAAACGUGAGAAUUCAUAAUACUAAUGUCGAGAGUUAAUUGUUCACAUCGCCAAUCAACUUUUGAUAAUUAUCUCAGAAAGCCACAAUUCUUUGUUUUAUAAUAGAACAGCCGCUCAUUAUGGUUGUUGAAACCGUCAUCAUAUUUGGAGUUUGUUAUUUUAGUUAUGUAAAUAAAACUAUCAUACACUAAAUAAUUAAUGGUGUGCAAAAACCGAACCGAAUCGAUAAAAAUGCUAUUGGGUUAACAAUUUUUUAUUGGUUUUAUAAAAAAAUUAUUGGGUAAAUGGUUCAGCUAUCGAUAAUCCAAUAAGGAUACACUACUGUUUUACCCUUAUUUGUGUUAUAUAUUUAUAUAUUGUAUACACUACUUAUUCACAAUUCAGAGAUUCACAAAGUAUUAACCUAUUCAGGACAACAAAGGCAUAAUACAAAGCACGGGUAUUAUCGUAUUGGAAAGCUUGAAGCAUUUAGUAGCUUCCAACAAUUAGAAUUUAGUUUUUUACGAACUAUAACAUUCUGUUCAAGUUUGAAGAUUUUUGUAAACUAAAACGCAUUGCGUAUGAUUUUGGC